rfam:Chlorocebus sabaeus isolate 1994-021 chromosome 11, whole genome shotgun sequence.
GCCGGGCGCGGUGGCUCAAGCCUGUAAUCCCAGCACUUUGGGAGGCCGAGACGGGCAGAUCACGAGGUCAGGAGAUCGAGACCAUCCUGGUUAACACGGUGAAACCCCGUCUCUACUAAAAAAUACAAAAAAAUAGCCGGGCGAAGUGGCGGGCGCCUGUAGUCCCAGCUNNNNNNNNNNAGCUGGGACUACAGGCGCCCGCCACUUCGCCCGGCUAUUUUUUUGUAUUUUUUAGUAGAGACGGGGUUUCACCGUGUUAACCAGGAUGGUCUCGAUCUCCUGACCUCGUGAUCUGCCCGUCUCGG